UACGUAGGGCGCAAGCGUUGUCCGGAAUUAUUGGGCGUAAAGAGCUUGUAGGCGGUUUGUCGCGUCUGCUGUGAAAUCUCAAGGCUCAACCUCGAGCUUGCAGUGGGUACGGGCAGACUAGAGUGUGGUAGGGGAGACUGGAAUUCCUGGUGUAGCGGUGAAAUGCGCAGAUAUCAGGAGGAACACCGAUGGCGAAGGCAGGUCUCUGGGCCACUACUGACGCUGAGAAGCGAAAGCAUGGGGAGCGAACAGG
rnacentral:rRNA from 1 species